UACGUAGGGUGCGAGCGUUAAUCGGAAUUACUGGGCGUAAAGCGUGCGCAGGCGGUUCGUUGUGUCGGUGGUGAAAGCCCCGGGCUUAACCUGGGAAUGGCCAUGGAAACUGGCGAACUGGAGUGUGGCAGAGGGGGGUGGAAUUCCGCGUGUAGCAGUGAAAUGCGUAGAUAUUGGGAGGAACACCAGUGGCGAAGGCGGCUCACUGGACCGGUUCUGACGCUGAGGCGCGAAAGCGUGGGUAGCAAACAGG
rnacentral:rRNA from 1 species